rnacentral:rRNA from 1 species
UGCAUAAUGGGUUGACCAUAUCCACCACAUAUAACAUUCCACGAACGAGGGCGAGCUAAGUAGUUGAACGGUGCUAGACAUUUAUGUGGUGUGUAGCAAUACACCAUUUAUAUCCUUACUUAGGGGUGAUAGGCCUGCCAAGCUCUCAGAUAUCUUGAACUGUUGGAAAAAUAUUUAGUAUAGUGACAACCUGAGAGCGCUGAGACUCUUAGGGGGCAUAAGCUCAAGGGUGUUACUGGAUGCUCUACAUAAGAGUAGGUAGCUGUUUAAUCUAACCACUUAUACUUUACUGUCUGUGUUUUAUACUUCACAUAGUGUUUUAUUUAAUUUAAUACGAUUUUAUUGUUUACAUUAGUAUUAAGUUAAUUCGUUUUAAGGAACUCGGCAAAUAGUCUGCUCAACUGUUUAACAAAAACAUAACUAGGUGUAUUAUAUACCUAGCUUUUUCUGCUCAAUGAGAAUUUUUAAUAGCCGCAGUACCCUGACUGUGCAAAGGUAGCAUAAUCAGUUGGCUCAUAAUUGGAGUCUUGUAUGAACGAUCGCAUGGGUGGAACCUGUCUCUAAGCGAUUAACAGAACUUUUUAAGUAAGUGAAAAUACUUACUGGUGUUUUAAAAGACGAGAAGACCCUAGAAAUUUUUCACUAAGGGUGUACAGUAGCGUUUUGGUGUUUUGCUGGGGCGGCAGAGUAACAUUUAAGUAACUUACUCUACAUAUUAAACUUUUAUUUACAGACAAGGCAUAAUUACUCUAGGGAUAACAGCGUAAUUCUUUUAGUGUUUGCGACCUCGAUGUUGGACUAGGGAAGAGAGCACCCAGAAGGUGCUCUUGUACGUUCUGUUCGAACGGCUUCUCCUACAUGA